ACAUCUUCAAAAUGAGUCAUAACUCCUGACCGUAUGAGGGAAUGCACACGGCGGUACAGUAAGGCUGCUUGGCUCAGGGCUAGGCGGACCUUUUCCUCCGAAAAGUCCUCAGCCCGGCUCGGGAACUUGGGGUGAGGCGAGGCUCUCUGUAGCUCUCAUCUUGUCUCCCCCCCCCACUCACCCCCCCUCCCCAUUCCCCCGAGGAAGCAAACAAACAAACAAACAAACAACGCGAAACAACUCCCGGAUGAAGCACACUCGGUCAAAUUGAUAAUAGUAAUUAUAGGAAGCCCACUCGCCCCGCGUCCCCUCCCCUCCCCUGUCGGAGUUGAUCGAGGCACUGUCUCUUCCUCCCCCUCACACCCCCGCCCCCAAAUUAGGAUUUCCCGUUUCACGCCGCAAUAAGAAAUAUAAUUAUAAGCCUCUUCGGACACUGUCCCUCCUCCCAGCACCCCCCCCCCCGCCGCCGCCGCCCCCUUCGCCGCUUUGACAAUAUUUACUUAUUUUCCCCCACCUCACUCACACCCAUGCUCCCCCGCCCUAGUUCCCUUAAAGAGUUCCAGGAGAAAAUGUUCUCCCCUCAAGAAAGGAAAGAGAAAGUCCAACCGCUAUACGGCAAUACUUUUAAGCUCGACUAAAUGAUCGUAUCCUUUUCUGGCUUCGAAACUUUUGUACCUAAAAAUCGAGAGUGGCGCUGCAUUUUUUCAGCUGAAACUGUCAAAACUUGGAGAAGGGGAACCUCGGAGGCAGGCAGGAGAGGAGGAGAAUCCUGCAACUCGGUGGAGGUUGGGAAGAUGCUGUGCCUCGAGGAUUAGUUUAAACAGGGGGCUAUAAAAGAUGUAACAGAUGCAAACUGUAACACAAGGGCCAUUAACCCUUUCUCUGCCGAACACACUCAGUCCCCACGCCCCGCACCUAUUGUCUCCUGUGCUAGAAGCUUUGCGGAAAACCUGGAAAUUUUGGCCAGAAAUGGUGAGAAGAAAAAGCAUGAAGAAGCCGCGAAGUGUGGGGGAGAAAAAGGUGGAAGCGAAGAAACAGCUCCCGGAGCAAACUGUACAAAACCUCGCCAAGAGUGUCGGGAGGCAGGACCGUUAUUCCUGCGGAGCAGGAGAGAGAGAGACCCUGAAACACGCGCCACCUAUCUUUGUGGGGAGGGAUAAUUGAAGCGCCCUGAGCGUGAGCAUCAUGU